GUUGCAGCCCACAAUGCAUUGCAAUCCUAGUUCGUUUAGCUCAGGGCUCUUCAAGUUUUUGACUUAACAUCCGAGCAGCUGGACCGGACAGACGAAAACUAAAGAUGAACUGGUCCAACUUCAGACUGAGAGAUUAGGUGACUCAAUCAUGUCAAACGACCCUUCUUGAGUGACCGUUAUGCGUGGGACUUCAAAGCUGAGAAAGACGCAGUCUGGACCUCUGAGGAGCUAUGGCUGGAUCGCAGUUAGCCAGAAUUUGAUCACAUGGCCAAACUGCAAGGCAGCAGUGAAAGGAACGAAGAGAUUGCUGCGUACCCACAUCGCUGCUGUGUUGGGGAAGUCCUUCUAGAUGCUGGAUUCUGCGGCUGAAACACAGGUACCUCGAUCUAUGAGAGCUGCAAGGCUUUUUCUUGCUCUGAGUCUGUGAGUUCCUUCUUUUGUUAUUGCCAAACCAAAUGAGCAGAGUUUUCAAAGCAGAUUGGGUUUGCUUCUCACUCCUGGCUUGGAUCCCCAGUGUCUUUCAUUGUGGGGUAGAGCCAACACUUCACCAACGUGUCUGUUCAAAAUGCUAAUCAACGUAUUAGUGCCUGAUCAUCAUCUUUCUCCAAACAAUGCCCAGACCCAUCUCACUCCUUCUACGUCUUCUGAGAGUCCAAAUUUGAACUCGUUUCAUCAAGGCCAAAUGUCAAUCAUAAGAAGAAAUCCAUAUGAAAUUUUAAUUGCAAGAUGUUCGGUGUAAAUUUAAUGAGUGAAAUAAGAGAUCUGAGAAUUCCCGCGUUCUCGGCUCAUGCAUAAUGUCGACUUAAAUUGCCUCUCUGGAGAUGGAGGGAAUUGCAUUUUUAGAAUUUACACACCGAGAGAGCAAAUGGAGUGGACCCUGAAGGUUAAGGUCAUAAAUCAGAAUCGUUUAACUGGUUUUGAGUGAUUGCUGUGGGCUGUAAUGGUGAGAGGAGCUGGCUGCAGCCACGAGUGAUUACUCUGCCUCCGAUUAUUGAAAUGCUACUCAAUAUUCAUAAAUCAGUGGUCAUUAAUCCCCCAAAUAGUACCUGUCGGCUUUCUAAAUAAAUUUCCAACCUGCUAAUGGAGAUUGAAAGAGGCUGAUGGGCACCGGCUCAGAAUGGAAACAGACGAGAGUGUUACUCGGACAGACCUGGAAGCAUGUGUUUUGGAACGUGAAUUCACUUUGGGGUGAAGAUGUCCCAGUGGACACCUUUUUGCUCAUUGCAGAAAAGGGGGGUUAUUCAGGCAGUUUCUCCCAACCCCUGUCAUUUCUGUAGACAAUAGCCUUGAUGUGUUACGUCUCAAUUCUGAAAUUUUGCUUCCGACCACAUCAAAUGAGUUAAAAGCUUCAAUGUAAUUGCUCGCCCAUCCCUGUUUACCCACAGUAAUUGGAAAAUAAAUGCACGGCGCAGCGAAAGGCCAUGACAUUUAUUGGAUAGCACGGGAACAAGCCGGGGAAGGAGACUGUAAUUGCAGCGUCAGUCACUGGGAUAACAAAUUUGGGAAGAAAUCGAGAAAUGAAAAUGAGCAUGAACUCGUAGGGACAUCAAACCGGAAAGCGAUUUCGUGACCACAGACACUUCAAGUCCAUGUUCAUUUUUCCUUUGCCUUGUUUCUGGGUUGGAUUCAUAAAUUAUAUAUAACGGUGACCAGACUUCUGGGUGAGGACAUCACAUUGACUCGAGUAAUAGGCACCACUCUGUAACUGUUGCAUUUGAAAUCUGGCAGAAAAUGAGAUUUGUGUGUGGGUGUGGGGGAGACAAGCCGUCUAGAUUCGUCUCCUGCCUGGUUUCACCUUGAAAAAAGGAAGCCUGAGAAGGGAGGCUGAAAAUAAAUCCUGUUUUCAAGUGUAAUCACUCAAAAUAACAGCAUAGACUCUUUUGAUCCCAGGUGUAUUAGUCAAAGAGCAGAGAAACAAACGUUGCAGCUGCAAACCCCCCCACCCCCCUUCUUGGAAAUUGAGGGACAUAGAAGAAAGGGGACUCGGUCCAGGAUGAAAAAGCUAGAACGGAAAUCCAGGUCAGUUGCCAUGAAAAAGAGCAACAGUUAAAAACCACAUUCCCCAGGGAAACGCUCUGUGCACAGAAGCAAUUCAAUGAUAGGUAUGAAGAGGGCUAAAAAUGUCCAUUCUCUACAUCCUUGGGGUUGAUUCUGUUUAUCCUUAGCACGAAUUCUCACUUCUACCUGGUUCCAUAGAAUUACAUUGACCUAUAAAGAGGUUCAUGGAAGCCUUUUUGAAGCAAGUGACAAGUCCACUAUGGGAGAGUAUUUAAGGAAGCCAUGGAUCAGGUGACACCCAAGAACACACAGUGGGUCUAAUAUACCCAAGGACACGCAGUGGGACAGUUGACCCACUCUUGACUAAUACAUCUAAGAGCACACAGUGGGCCAGUUGCCUCACUCUUGACUAAUACACCCAAGAACACACAGUAGGUGUAAUGUACCCAAGGGCACACAGUGGGAUGGUUGACCCAUUUCAACUAUGUUGAAUCAAUGCUGUUGCCUUUAAUGAUGAUAGUUUUUGAGAAAAGUAGCAUGUUAUCAGAUGGAUUUUAUUAUAUGAAACACAUAUUCUGAGCCUCUGAAAGGCAGUACUUUUCUAGGAAAGAAGCAGGAAGAGUAGAGAGAGUGAAGCUCCAUCUCCCAUGAGCCACAUCCCUCCUACACCUUGACAGGCCCCUUCUUUGUUCACUCCAGGGCUCUGGCCCCAUCACUCACUUGCCUGUCCAGGCCCUCCUCUGACAACCUUGGGAACUCACAGAUUCCUAGCAAGGGAGCAGCGUUGGGUCCUGAGCUUUCAACCCUGAGCUCCCAGAGCUAAGGUAGGCCAGAUCGUGGAGGAACUGGAAGAGAAUAGAUAGAGAUCUUUAAGGGGGUGGUCAUAUUACAUGGUAGAGAGACCUCGUUGGUCACAUAGGCUGCUACCAAUUUCGCUUCCAUGUCAGACUAGCCAUGGAUCUGAUUCUUACUAGAAUCACACUAUUAUGAAUUCAUAGCAUUUUUAGGGCUGAGGGAGUCUUUUGAUAUAAUCAGAAUAGCCCAUGCAUUUUACAGAUUAGGAAAUUCAGGAACAGAGAGGGUAGCUGACUUGAAAAGAGGCCACACAGCAAUAUAGGAUGGAUCCAGUUACAGGUGACAUUUGUAAGACGGGAGUCUUCACAUUUCAUUGUCCUGAGUUUCCUCUUUUUUGAACUGUGUCCACUGGACUCUAGGCUAUAAAUUCUUAUAAUAACUGAGAUAAUUGGCCCAUUUAGCUGUGUUGGGGGGAGGUCCAAGGAAAGGCCAAGGUUCUCUCCCAUUUUCCUUAGAAAUUCUCCAUUCAUUAGUUCCGUAAAUACUUACUGAUCACAUACUAUGUAAGCAGCAUGACAGUAGACAUGGAAAGUUGAGCAGUGAAUGAAAGGCCGUUGAACAUGAGGGAGAGGAGGGAAAGACGGGUAUUGAACCAUUUACUGUACGAUUAAUUAUUUGACUCCUGGGGGCGAAGGGAGCCUCUUCCACAAUGCUGAGUACAGUGCUUAGAUUGCAUAGACUGCCAGGCUCAGACUCUUACUAGCUCUUCAACUCCUUGGAAUAUUCCACAGUCAUCUGUAGUGGAGUUUGCAACAAUAUCUAUCUUGAGGGCCAAAUGCGGCAUUGAAUGGCAACCCUUACAAAGCAUUCUGCAAGGGACAUUUGGUUAGCAGGCACUUGAUAAAUAUGAAAAAUUAUUAAAAGUCUGGGUGGGGAGGAUUCAGUUCAUACCUUGAACAAUACCUCUGAAUAGAACUGCUGGGGCUGCCGCUGCAGGAGCUGUGAGUGGUGGUCCAGACAGGCUCCAAGGCUUUGAGCCUGAAACUACCUUUGCAAAAAUGAUAACAGUGAAAGAAAUCUGACCUAACUGACUCCAUCUUGCCUCUAACCCCCCAGCUGCCCUUGCUUAUUCCUAAGUGUACACCCAGCUAACUGUGGGAGGAAUUUAGUUUUUAGGUUAAUUUUAAAACAAAGAUGAUAACAACCCCUUCCUGAACCAAACCCUUUCAUUGCUUGGGGACUGAAAAUGCCUUUGUAAAGCUAACAGAUUAGCCACAAGAUUAGAAAUAUGGCUUUGGGGUCAUAGAGCCAGAGGUCACAAGAUCCAUAACCUCCACAAAUCACUCUUCUAGAUAACAGCACUAUUGGUGUUUGAGGUAUUUUCAGACCCUCCAUUCUGAUGCGUCAGCUGGCACCACCUGGACCAGUGGCCCAUACCAGGAAACUGGCUCAACUGGUCUUGUGAUCCCACCCAGGAAAUGACUCAGCACAAGAAGACAGUUCCAACCUCCUAUGAUUUCAUCCCUGACCCAACCAAUCAGCAUUCCCAAUUUCCUAACACCCUGCCUGCCAAAUGAUCCUUAAAAAAACCCUAGUAUCCAGUUUUCUGGGGAGGCUGAUUCGAGUAAUAAGCUCUUGUCCUCCCCUUGGCUAGCUCUGCAUUUAUUAAACCUCUUCUCUACUGCAACACUCCUGUCUCAGUGAAUUGGCUCUAUCUAUGCACUGGGCAAGAAGAUGGUUAUUUACAAGACCAUCACCCAUCUUGGGGUACAGUGCUCUUGGGCAGGCUUUUUUUCAACUUUUGCAGGAUGUGCUCCUCUCAUCCCUACCUCUUAAGGUAUUUGAAAUGCCUUAAGGCAUUUGAAGGUCCCUGAGAUCACCCCCGUAGGGAGUAGGGUACUUUCUAGAUGGGGAGAUUCCACCUGACUCUGGCUGAGAGCUUUUACUACUGCAUCAGGAACACAGCAGAGAAGUAUGGGGAAACAGUACCCCCCAGAUUUUCAGGAAGAUGGAAGUGCAGUGAGACACAAAGGCUACAUUGGUGCAAGCUGCCUGCCAUUAGCUGCAGGACAAGGGUACAUUUCCACUCUGCAGAAAAUUCUCUUGGACAGGGCGGUUCCAGAGAGUGGCUGAAGGAACCAUGAGAGAAUCCAUGAAGCUGGUUUCUGCUCCUCCUUUCCCGAGUCUAGAUUGGUUAGUGUUAAUUGAACGUGACAGUUACUUAAGAUUAAGGGAGGCAUUCUUUACAUUUUUAAGAUGAGUGAGAUGGGAGCAUGUUAACAUGCUGAGGGAAAAGAAUCUGCAGAAAGGGAGAGAGGAGUGAUAUUGGGGAGGGAGGGGCGAUCGUAAGAGCAAGGACGGUGAGUUUAUUUUGAGCCUGGAGGUAAGUCGGGAUGUCAGAUGAUUCUGCAAAUCAUCACGAAUUCCUGAAACAAGGAAGGAACCCACAACGCAGACUGGCUUGCAGUUCCCUUCCACAGGGAAAUGGAAUUGCCCAUGCGAACCUCCUUAAUGCUUAAAUGUUCUGCAGAUGAAACAGAUCAUAUUGAUGGAGCCUCGGGCAGGAUGUCUGACCAAUUAUUGUCAGAAUAUACAGAGUCCAUGUCCUGAACCAUUAAUUUGAGACUCUAUGCUCAAUCACUGUUUAUUCAUUGUCAAAUUUAUAUGACACACAGAAACCUCUUAUUUCAACACCUGAUAUUUGUCUCUGCGGGUACAUUUAGAGAAAGGCUAUGCAUCCUAUGCCAGUUUGACUCCCUUGAAUUCUCAACAGAAGCUAAGGGACUCUUUGCAUCUGCAAGUGUGGAUGGGCAUCUGUGGUAGUUCACAGAAUAAGGGCGUGACGUUUUCACCUCCAGAGCGGAUCAUCUGGGGAGUGAUGGGUAAAAGUAAUAUUAAACAUGUUAUAAGUAACAUUGCCAUGCCACAAAGGAAACAGCCCUCGAUGAUAAAUCCUCUCAGCAAGGCAAUUUACUUCUAUAGAAGUGUGCAGCUAACAGAUGGAGCAAUGGGGGCCACAUGCUUGGACAAGGGGGGAAGUGCGGGGGGAACCCCACAAGUGCUGAGGUGAGGGUCUGAAGCCUCGGCCCGUUCCUACAUAAAUAGUGAAUUAGAAAAGAAUUAGAAGUAUAAGCACAUAGUUUUCCUAUAUAUAAUCAUAUGUAAUCACAUAGUUAUUCAUAUAUAAUCAUAAAGAUAUAUAUACUCGAUAUAACCUUUUAAUUUUACUAAUGACUAUCAGGUUAUGAAGCAUGGAACUGAGGUGACAUUGUGAACAAAGUGAUCCUAAGGCAAGAUGCUCUAAGCCCUCUGUCAUGCCCACAUAAGGGCUGCUGGAGGGCGCCUUGGCUGUGCAGCAGUGCCAGGCUGGGAAAGCGCCCACCGUUUAGCCAGCUAGGGAAGGAGACAUCCAAGAUGGCCAAGAUUUCUCCUUCCAGGGGGAGUUAGGAGAAAACUCCACUCCUCCAAGCUCUUGUGGUGGGUCUGACGGCUGUCAGGGAGGCCUGCAGACAUCCGGGGGCUUAACUGUCUCUGUGUGAUGCUGUGCUUCAGUGGUCACGCUCCAUGUCCACCCUCACGCUCUGCUUCUGCACCUAGUCCCUCUUUUUCUUAGAAGAUAGAAUCAGUAAAAGUAAUAGAAAUCUUAAUGUCCUUGAUAUUUUUGACAAGUAUGCGAAAAGUGCUGACACAUGAGGUUUUCUCUUCGCCUCGGCUUCUUGAAAGUCCUGGGCCCCUGUCUCCAAGACACGUGAUUUACUUGACCCUAUCACUGGCCACCAUUACCUCACCCUACCUUCCCUGCCCCCUGCUUUGUGCUCAAUAAAAGUCAGAGCGUCCAGGCACUUGGGGCCGCUACUGGACUCCGCGCUUUGGCUGGCAGUAGACACCUGGGCCCAGACUCUGUUUUCUCUUUAUCGGUGUCUUGUGCCUUUUGUUUCCAUAGUUUCUUGUCUUUUCAUCUGCAGAGAGGGGUUCACAGGACCCUGUAGGGCUGGACCCUAUAGGGAACGGGUACUAUGCCUGACCGGGGUCACCCCUGCUGCUGUGUCGUUCCCCUGUUGGCUAGGGUUAGACCGCACCAGCUAGACUACUCCUGACUGGCUGUUUUAAAGAGAGCAGGGGUCCGAGCUGGAGUGGCAGGGUGGGUGGUUUCGUGGGAAGGACCAUUGGGGGCGGGUCAGAGCAGGUAGCUGGGGUGACCUUGGUUAAAGAAGGGGACCGGAGGAGGUGACUGCAAUGAAUCAAGACAGAGCCAGAAGAGGGGGAGCAGAUGUGAACUACUGAUUAGAACUGGUGGAGAAGGUUGUUUAUUGGGAUUACAGGGAAGUUAAACUUUAAAACAGAGAAUUAAAGAAUAAGAGAGCUGAACAUACUGACAUACUGAUUCUUUGAGGAGAAACUGGGGUUCACUCUAACAAACAUCACCAUGUCUGCCUUUCUAUGUGGUGCUGAAAAUCUGUUUCGGACCUUCCAAUGAGGAUAUCAGAAGAAAAUAUCCCUGGUGUCAUAAGAAGGCAUAGCACAGAGAGGCAGACAGGCAGACAGCAAGGGGGGGGUCCUUCCCCCAGAGAAAGGCACUCCUGCACAAAAGGUGGUGAGUAGAGGGCAUUUCUCAGACUGCUUUGGGCAGAAGCAGUUUUCUUAGCAAUCCUUUAGCUCAGAAGUCUGUACUUGGCAUUUAUUUUGAGCGCGGAGGUCAUCAAAGAGGUAAGAUGAUUCUGCGAAGCAUCACGAAUUCCUGACACAAGGAAGGAGCCCACAGUUUGGGCCUGCUCGGAAUAAGGACAGUGUGACACAGCUUGUAAAGAAGUGGCAGAAGGGCCAGGCGUGGUGGCUCACGCCAUAAUCCCAGCACUCUGGGAGGCCAAGGUGGGCAGAUCACGAGGUCAGGAGUUUGAGACCAUCCUGGCCAACAUGGUGAGACGCUGUCUCUACUAAAAAUACAAAACAUUAGCUGGGCCUGGUAGUGCGUGCCUGUAGUGUCAGCUACUGGGGAGGCUGAGGCAGGAGAAUGGCUUGAACCCAGGAGGCAGAGGUUGCAGUGAGCCGAGAUCGAGCCAUUACACUCCAGCCUGGAUGACAGAGGAAGACUCCAUCUCAAAAACAAAACAAAACAACACAGAAAAAGGAAGUCACAGAAGAAGAUAACGUAAGGGAAAGGGCAGAGAAAAUACUCUUCUGUCUCUGGUUAGCUGGGAGUUUUCAUGUCCUCUCAACAGAGAGAGAAUUGGAAGAUAAUGUCAGAAUCCAUGCAGCAUGCAGCCUGUUUUGUCUUCAUAUCUGGUUGGAUUUGCAUCUGGGUUUUCCUAAGAUGAGACUCCCUGUUACAGGAAGUGGUUUGAAAGGCUUUGGAGUGGACUGCAAUACUAUCUAAGGUUGGCAAGGAAAUGUAGGAUGUCCACAAACCACAUGAGGCUAUUUAAAUUUAAAUAAACCUCCAACUCUUCUACUCAGUUGUGCACUUUGAAAUCACAAAGGGGAAGGGACAGGGGCCUGGAGACCUGUACACGUGUCUCUAACUUCAUCUUAAGUGUGUUUCUGUCUUGAAUUUAGAGUUAAGUGUAGCUCUCAUUCAACACGUGGUUCAGCCAUUCACUGCCAACCUUCCUUUUUUUUUUUUUUUUUUUUUGAGAUGGAAUCUUUCUCUGUUGCCCAGGCUGGAGUGCAGUGGUGUGAUCUCAGCUCACUGCAACCUUCAUCUCUGGGUGAUUCUCCUGCCUCAGCCUCCAGAGUAGCUGGGAUUACAGGCAUGUGCCACCACACCCAGGGAACUUUUGUGUUUUUAGUAGAGACGGGGUUUCAUCAUGUUGGCCAGGCUUGUCUCAAACUCCUGACCUCAAGUGAUCCCGUAGCCUUGGCCUCCCAAAGUGCUGAGAUUGCAGGCGUGAGCCACCACGCCCAGGGAACUUCUGUGUUUUUAGUAGAGAUGGGGUUUCAUCAUGUUGGCCAGGCUUGUCUCAAACUCCUGACCUCAAGUGAUCCCGCAGCCUUGGCCUCCCAAAGUGCUGGGAUUGCAGGCAUGAACCACCGCAUCCGGCACAACCUUAACCUCUUUUAAACACCCACUCCCCUCUGUAUCUGCCCCAGGAUAGGAGCCAGGUUCUGCAGUGUCUGAGAACAUGGGUUCUGGGGACCAGAGGACUCUGCUGUUUAUUAAUAAGGUAGCCUUGGGCAAGCGUGUCCGCCUCUGUGCCACAGUUUCUUCAGACUGCGAACGAGACUGAUGGUCCUAUCUACUGCUAGGGUCAUUGUGAAGAUUUACAGAGGUACUUUCUGUAACUUGCCAUGCACAAGACCGGCACUCUCCAAAUAGUAGAUAUUUGUAUUAAUUUU